GGUGAUCUACGGGGCGCAGCAGUGGGGAAUAUUGCACAAUGGGGGAAACCCUGAUGCAGCGACGCCGCGUGAGUGAAGAAGUAUUUCGGUAUGUAAACUUCUAUCAGCAGGGAAGAAAAUGACGGUACCUGACUAAGAAGCCCCGGCUAACUACGUGCCAGCAGCCGCGGUAAUACGUAGGGGGCAAGCGUUAUCCGGAUUUACUGGGUGUAAAGGGAGCGUAGGCGGCGAUGCAAGUCAGAAGGGAAAGCCCGGGGCUCAACUCCGGGACUGCUUGUGAAACUGUAUGGCUAGA
rnacentral:rRNA from 1 species